AGUGGUGCUCAUUUGUCGAAACU
rnacentral:miRNA from 1 species